UUAUUGCAGUGUCUAUAUAAUCUGUAAAAAUUAGAACAGACAAUUAUAUCCUGCCUGUAAUUUAUAUCCGCAAUGCGCAUGUAUUUUGCAUGUGUAUAUAAACAUAUAUACGUCAAUUUUCUUGACGGAAUUAUUUACCGGUAACCAGUAGUAACUCCGCAACGUAGAAGAAAAUUCCGAAUCAUCGCGUGAUCAAUAUCUCUCAAUGUUACUGCGUAAUUCCGCGUGUCGAAAAAAAUAUAUAUAUACUAUUAGCACAUUAAUGACGUAUAACACUUUAUCUUAUUUGUUCUUUAUUCCAGGAGAAAUUCAACAUUUGCACGAAGAUUUUAUGACUAUGUCAUCGCUCCGUCGAAAUCUUUUUACUGCAGAUUGGACAGAUGAAAUUGCUGGACGAAUUGUUAUCACUGUUCGUGUGAAGUACACCGUUUGUGGAAUAAACGUGUUGAGAUCGUAAAAUAGGCUUUCCGUCGAAUCUUCUUUCUCUGGGUAAUGGCUCAGGUGAAUAUGUCCCUGUUAUUUCUUCCUCGUUGUCUGAGGAAUCCGAAGCUUCUGAUGCAGACUGUUCCAUACCGCAUUGUAAAAAUAGCAUUGGAUCCACUUUUACCUCCAUUUCCUCCAUACUUGGAG